rnacentral:tRNA from 1 species
GGACAGGUAGCCAAUAUUGGUUUCGGUAUUAGUCUGCAAAACUAAUUUAAUAACAGUUCGAUUCUGUUUCUGUCCU